CGCGCAACUGCCCGUCUUUUCUUCUCGGUCCUCCCUUGAAACGGAGAAUGAAAGAUUAAGAAAACUAAUUUGCAAAGUGACAAAUAACUGCAGGAGUUCACACAAGGCCAGACAUAUCCUGAAAUCUGCAGAUGACUCCCUCAUUCAUGGAUGGAUUAAAAGCCAGAAGUCUG